CAGCUGCUGAUGUUAAGUAAACCACGAUGCCCCAGCGGGGGCAAACCAGUAGGGACGUAAACACCGUUGUCUGUGGAUCCCUGCAGUGCUCCUGCCUUGCACCUACUAUUCUCAAUAUUUGAAUAAUUUCUGUUGUAGGAAUUUAUAGAAAACGGAAUUUAAUUGAAUGUCACAGGUCCAUUGUCAUAUACUACAAAGAGACUGGACAUGAUAUACAAUACAAACUAUUAUUAUGAAAAAUAUAAGACAAUCAAAGACAAACAGAGUUAUUGAUCAGCAUCUCUGCAAUUCAUGUCACCAGUUUGUGAAACAUUUAUUAGACAAAGACAUAACCAUUCCGGAUAUUUCCUAAAGCAAAAACACACACAUCAAACAUUCUACAUUCUAAUCAAAAGAAAAAGGGAACAGAGAAGCACACAUUCAUCUUCGGGCACCAUUAAUCCCACCAUAAAUCCCACUGCAUUACCAGCGGGUAACUGUUGAGGGGAAUAGCUUCAAACUAAGUAUCAUACACUUAAAUCUGGCUUCGUAGGAGAUCAUAGAUAUGUUAUUUCAUCCUGUGAGUCCACCCAGCACCACUGAGCAUCGUAGCCCAACAAAGACGUGUCUCCAUUAGGCGCCACCUCUUCCUCUUUCUUCGCAUCAUUCCGAGAGACUCUGAAACUCUGAGUUUGUUGCUUUGUCCGUGUCUCUUCUGAUGGUUUAGUGAGGGAGAAAAUGUCCCUCGCACUUCUUGCCUUGUGAGAUCUGAGAAGAGCUCUUCUGAUGGUGCCAGCAUUUUUUUCGAGGUCUUGUGACGGAGCGACCUUGGAGCCCUGCGGUCGUGAUUUUUGUAAUUUGGCAUCAACAAAAAAGUUUGCAAGACCAGGUGAUGACCGACGAUCGCUGCCAUGAGUGACUUGGAACUUCAAGCGAGGACGAGGAGGUUUUUCUCCAGUAGACUCUGGGAUCCGCAAGUCUCCAUUGUGGCUUGAUUCUGCAUCAUCAGCAUGUGGUGGGUGACCAGCUGAUUCCUCACCGGAGUCUUCAGUCAAAUCUUGACUUGGGCUCUGGCUUUCUCUGUGGGAGAAAUGACACGAAUACUAAGCCACAUAUGAAGGGGACAACGGGAGCCCGUGCUCCUCCACAGCCACCAGGCUGCUCAGGCUGCCUGCCAGGCUGCUGCCACGGCUGGUCGAAGCCCCCCUCUCCUCCAUCAGCCAACGCAUGGCCUCGAUGCCCUCGUGGACGGUCACCAGCUGGCGCAGAAUCUUCACGUCGGCAGAACGCAGCAACCUCUGCAAGGACAGAGAGGAGUUGGCCUCUUAGCUUGUCAGAAAAGCUCUGACCGAAGGCGCUGCUCCGGUCUCCCCUGUCGACCACGUCCGACCACCAACCAUCUCCGCAGUCCGCAGCAUCCCUCAUCCAAAUCAGAAGGCUCUCCGGCGUCUUCCUGCCAACCUUAUUUUCCACUUCUCUCAGAUCUGCCAAGGAAUCGUUGAGGAUUUCCUCCGCCAUCCCGCCGCGCAGCAUUUCCUUCCAAGUCCUGCGAUCAGGUGGACGCGGGAUGGAGAAGAGCGCACGUGCGUAAAGUGCCUUUCCCCAAAUUCCACCGUGAGAAGUUAAGACUGCGCAGACUCGCACUCUCAAAAACUCACACCCAGACUCACAGCCAAGGUCCCGCGCGUUAUAUCCCCGCGAGCACUCGACAACAAAACCCGCGACCGCGACCGACGCACGCGGUGCCACAAAGGCGCCGCGGAACGAGCCGUGAAAACGCUGGAACGACGGAUCACCUGCUGACGGGCCGUCGGCAUUCAUGCCACUGAGGUGUUGAUGGUAUGCGGCAGGUGGUGCUGGAAAGUCCUCAAACAAUGGUCACGUGAAGUGGCGCCACCUGUGCGCAUCGAGCCGACGGGGAUGGGAGAAGGUCACGUUCACGUGAUUCCUCUGUUCAUCUCUAUCUCUAAUCAACUGGAGGGCACAAGUGUAGCUGAUGUGUAAAAUAUAAUGGCUAUAAGUCAUUAGUGUCACUUAUUUUCUGGGAUCAAAUGUAAAUGUCCUCGUGGCAAUUUCUGUGUGUUCAUUUAUUUGUAUUAAGGUGGUGAAGGUUUGUAUUUUAACACUCUGAUAUCUUGUUCAAUUAAGUUGCAUUGAUAACAUAUCAAGGAAAUGACUGUGUAUUUUUUAAAUCCCAGAUAUAAUAUGGCAACUAUAUAUUUACUGAAUAAAAAGGUUGUGGAAGUAUAGGCACAGGGACCCCAAAGGCCCAAAUCCAUCUGUUUCCUUUUGGUGUAUUAGGCUCAGAUUUGCAGAAUGUAAUGGGACUGUACGGUUAUUGACCUACGAUGCUCAAGAUGCCAUUUCAGAAACUUAACAUCAAUGUCUCUUCCCAGACAUCCACUGACCCUGUUGUGCGUGUUAUUUUAGAUCUUAGGGUUAACUGUCUGUCAAAAAUAGUCUGUGGAAGAAACAGGUCUGAUUUUUAGACACAGAAAACUAAGCAGAGAGCGAGCUGACAUCUGUCACUGACUGAAACGUCAUCUUGCUCCAUAUUGGUGCCUUUCAAAACCAGGGCAAGAGUCAAGGGAGGUUCCUGCUUCCGUAAACCAGGGUUGUGCUUUAUUAAAUUGUUAAAGGUGAAAGUGGCGUUCUAAGAAAAAAGGAGCCGAAUACAUGAAUGAAAAAUAA